CAGCCCACGUCCCCUCCCUUUAACUCUUUGCUGGGCUGGGCGCUCCCUCCGGCGCCGCCUGCCUGGAAGCCUUCUCCCCGGCCUGCUGGAAGCCUUCUCCCGAGUCUGCCCCUUGCCUCAAGAAUCCAGAGCACCUUCCCGAGUGGCAACGCUUCUUCAAGAGCGGCGGGUCCAACUCUACCUAAAAGCUUGGGCCCUCUGAUACUGCUAGGAGGGGGAAAUCAGUUUCAGGAUCGGAAAGAAAGGACCGGUGGGAGAGUUACAAAUGUUGAAAAGAUUGCUUCAAACAUCUGGGGAAAAAACACUCAAGACAGAAGAAUAGUGGCAAGAUUCUUAAGUGAAAUGAGAGAAGAGAAGGAAAAGAAAGAACAGGAGAAAAAGGACAGCAAGUUAAGACUCAAAAGUAGCCAAAACAGAAGUGCAGUCCUGCAGAAAUCACAGCAAGAUACAGCGUGUACUGGGGUGGUGUGAGGGUGGUGUUCAGGGAUUUAAUUCCAUUAAUCUGAGGAAUAGAACACUUCUUUGUGCCUGUUUUAGAUAUUCUUUAGAAAACACACAGUUUGUCUUUUCCAGAAAAAAGUCAUCUGUCCAUGCAAGCCACUUUUGUAAUCCUAUCACACACAGUAAAUGUAAAAGCAUCCACUCCAGAAGAUGGGCAUUUAGAAGCUCUAAAUGGAAGACAUUUUUCUUGUGCCUUGCUUUUUUUCUUAAGUAUAGAGAAUUUCUCCUUUCUCCUUUCUACUAUGUCUCUUUUACAUAUGAGACCUUGUCUCCAGUUUGUAUAAUACAAAGUGUUUCUGGUACUUAAAAUGGGGGUGGGUAAACUUGACCUUUAAAUCUCAAGCUAGAAAAGGACUACAAUUGUAUACAUCAGAGAAAGGAGAGGUUUAUUGAGAAUCUGGCCUUCAGAUGUUUCAUCUAAGUUUCUUUUUCUUUUUCUCUUUCUUUCUUUCUUUCUUUUUAAAAAAUUUUUUUUUUGCCUAAAUUAGAUUCCUUCUCCUGCUUUUUUAAAAAAUCCUCCCAUUAUAUGGAUCCAACCAACUCUUUGUUUUAUGGACCAAAUGACUAACUUAACAACAGCAAUAAAAAUCAAAUAUGGGUAAGAAAUUCAUGCUUGGAGAGUUUUCCAGUAUUUUAAGUAGUACACAUUUUACAUGGUAAUAUAAAUGGUGUAAAUGACAAUCAUUAAUAGUAGAUUUAAAAAAUCACAAAUUAUUUUUAUUUCUCUAGAACUUCACAGGUUAGAACAGGUUAGAAUGGUGCAAAAACUACUUUGAAAUCACUUACUAGAAUACAGUGAUACUAAAUGAAGGGUUGAGGAAUUUAUUCAGUCUCAGACAGUACUAUAAAAAUAUACCUCAGUCAAUAGUUUUAUGUAAUUGACACGGAAUGAUGGGUUUAUGCAUACAUUUGGAGCUCUUUUCCCUGGGAUUUUAUUUCCAAUUAAGUGGUUAGAAGAAUGACAAUGAAGAGUAUGCUCACCUUAUUCUGCUUUAGCAAGACUUCUUGUAAUCAUGGAAAAAAUACACAUGUAGACAACUGCAGUGUUGUUGGGAAGAGAAGUCUGGAGAGAAGUUGAUGAAUGAUUCUGAAGUGGUGCCUUUUAUGACCUAAGUGAGAGGGUGGAGAAUGAGUGAGAAAGGAAAUCUGAUUCUCAGUGAAUAUCAGAAGAAGAAUGCUCUUUCUCUUCCAGGGUCCAGAAAAUAUCUUAAUUUCUGUAAUAGGAAACAAGUAAAAAUAACCCUGCAAAUAAUCUUACUUUGAAGAUUAUCCUAUAAGAAUGAAAACACAUUGUUUUCCUAUUCCAGGUCCCAGUUCAUCCCUUCUAAUUAUUUUUCCAAAGCAAUACACCAGCAAAGGUUUGCUUGUCAAAAGUGUGGCAAUUCAUAGCGAAAAGAAAAUUGCACUUGAAGACAAGAGGAUGCCAAUGAAGCAGAUGAAGCAGACGGUGGCAGCUCUUCCCUAAGUUUAUUAAUUUCCCACAGAGAGGUCUGUGCAUGGGGCUAUUGGGAGUUGUGGGAGACAGAGAAUGGAACUUCAUGGAGAAGUAUUGCAUUACCUAACCCUGACAUCCAGAAUAAGGAACUUUCUAAGAGAUAAACUUGACUGAUUACUUGUACAUGAAGGAGAAACAGAAAUAAUGGUUUGGUGGGUAGGGAAAAACCACCAGUCUUGUACCAAAAGUGUUGUUCAGAGGAUUGUUAACUCAUUUCUUUUGCCUUUUGUCAGGAGAAUGAUAACUGGGAGUUUAAGAAGGGAAAGUGAGAAGCUGGGGAUAUAGCUUGCCUUGCAUGCACAAGGCCUUGGGUUCAAUCCCCAGCACCACACACACACACACACACACACACACAAAAAAAAAAGAUAGAGGGAGGGAGUAUCUUAAUCUGACUAUUUCUUUAUUAUAUCUUGAUGAGUAAAGAAGAUCUGCUGCUGAACUGCAGAAGGGUUUAUAGGGAAUGAGGGGGGCACCCUGUAUUUUUAUAAGUAUACAUGACCAGCUCUGUUUAGGUCUGGUCAUUACACCAAGUAUUUGGGUUGGUUCACUGGGUGAUAAAUGAGUAAAUGUUACCCAGGCUGGUCCUGAGAAAGCCAGAGACUCAGGAGUGGAUAAUUCUGUAGCCUUGAAGAAGGUCUUCAAUUCUGACUGUAGAAAUCAUGAUUCUGGAUUCACUUUUGUCUGCUUCUCAAUAAACACUACUGUUUUAAUGCUGAUGAUGAUACCACUAGUAUUAUCAUCAUGAUUAAAAAUCUCCCUUUCUCAAGUUUAAAAUCUUUCUCUGUGAGGAAUGAUAAUUCCAUUUACACUUCUUUUGGAGUUCAUCAUUGAAAGUUUUGUGUUGCCCUCUCCUGUUAACCUCUACUGGAUCUGACCUGUAGUCAACUGGCUCAAUGGCUUCAGUGUAUGACUUUCAGGAGAGCUAACAAAUUAAAGUGAUCUACCACAGAUCUGAAAUCAA
rnacentral:lncRNA from 1 species